AACUUCAGACAAGGUUGGCAUUUAUUAUUAAGCCAUGCCAAUAAAUGGCUUUUCUAUGACAAUUACUAAGCCAUAUAGACAAAUAGCUUUUUUUUAUGAAAACCAGUAAGGCAAAUUAACGUCCAAUGUUGUAAUAUUUUUCCCAGAAGCCCCUUCCACAAACAUGUUGUGACAAUCAAUAAGGCUAAAGAAGGCUAACACAAGGAAUCCGAAUCCCAUAAUCCUACACCACGACUUAUGACUG
rnacentral:lncRNA from 1 species